rnacentral:misc_RNA from 1 species
AAAUUGCGAAAAGUCUUGCGAAUUGCAAUUGUUGAGUCAUCGAAUCUUUGAAUGCACAUGGCGCCUUUCUCGCAAGAGGAGGCACACCUGUUUGAGUGUCUUUUGCUCAUUCUUCCUUUUUCCUUUGUGUGGGAAUGGGGGAGGAGUCUUGGACGUUGCGCUUUUGCAUCGCGCGCCGUCUUGAAUGUAGAUCAAUUCGGAUCAGUUGGGUCUCGUCUUACGAUGUCGGUGUCGUAAUUUUCUUCAUCGCCGUCUUCUGACGUGACUUGAUUGUGUUCCGCGAGCGGGGUGAUGUUUCAACCGUUCUCUAGCCAUCUUGGACCUCAAAUCAGGUGAGAGGACCCGCUGAAUUUAA